UCUGGCCUGCCCAGUGAUAGAUUUUAACGGCCGCGGUAUCAUGACCGUGCAAAGGUAGCGUAAUCACUUGUCUUUUAAAUAAAGACCUGUAUGAAAGGCAAAACGAAAAUUCAACUGUCUCUUUAAUCCAAUCAGUAAAAUUAAUCUCUCCGUGCAGAAGCGGAGAUAUUUUUAUAAGACGAGAAGACCCUAUGGAGCUUUAAACAUAAAAUUAACUCCACCCACACCCUUAACCAACAGGUAAAAAGUACAGAUAUGUAGCCAUAAUUUAAGUUUUCGGUUGGGGCGACCACGGAAGAAAGAAAAUCCUCCGCGAUAAACAGCUUAGAACAACACUUCAAGACUAAAACAUUUGUUAUAAAUGAACCACUAAGUGAUCAACGAACCAAGUUACCCUAAGGAUAACAGCGCAAUCCUUUCUAAAAAUCCAUAUCAGAAUGGGUUUACCAACUCGAUGUUGGAUCAGGACACCC
rnacentral:rRNA from 1 species